AGUCUGGUGCCAGCAGCCGCGGUAAUUCCAGCUCCACAAGUGUAUUCCUAUAUUGUUGCGGUUAAAAAGCUCGUAGUUGGAUCUGAGUGCUUAGCGGGUGGUACAGUGUUUCACUGUCACCGCUUCGCGGCACAUAACCGUCGACUGGCUGCUGUUGUUGCCUUCACCGGUGACGGCAGUUAGCUAUCGACAUGUUUACUUUGAACAAAUCAGAGUGCUCAAAACAGGCGUUUCGCUUGUAUGUUUUUGCAUGGAAUAAUAGAAUAGGACCUUGGGUCUAUUUUGUUGGUUUUCGGAAUCAAGGUAAUGAUUAAGAGGGACAGACGGGGGCAUUCGUACUGCAACGGGAGAGGUGAAAUUCUUGGAUCGUUGCAAGACGAACUACUGCGAAAGCAUUUGCCAAGAAUGUUUUCAUUAAUCAAGAACGAAAGUAACGGGUUCGAAGGCGAUCAGAUACCGCCCUAGUCGUUACCGUAAACGAUUGUAACCGGGAGCUAGCAGGCGCUUUACUAUGGCUCUGCUAGAACCCACCCGGAAACGAAGAGUUUUCGAUAUCCGGGGGAAGUAUACUUGCAAAUGUGAAACUUAAAGGAAUUGACGGAAGGGCACCACCAGGGGUGGAGCCUGCGGCUUAAUUUGACACAACACGGGGAAACUCAUCCGGUCCGGACACCGUAAGGAUUGACAGAUUGAGAGCUCUUUCUUGAUUUGGUGGGCAGUGGUGCAUGGCCGUUCUUAGUUGGUGGAGUGAUUUGUCUGGUUUAUUCCGAUAACGAACGAGACUCUAGCCUACUAACUAGUUAUGCGAUCUUCUUGUCGUAUUAACUUCUUAGAGGGACAAGCGGUGCUCAGCCGCAUGAAAAAGAGCAAUAACAGGUCUGUGAUGCCCUUCGAUGUUCGGAGCUGCACGCGCGCUACACUGUAGAGUGCAACGUGCUAGCUUGCCUCGCUCGCAAGAGUGGGGUAAUCGGUUGAAAUUUCUACGCGAUUGGGAUAGGGACUUGUAAUUAUUUCCCUUGAACGAGGAAUCCCUAGUAAGUGCAGGUCAUCAGCUUGUGCUGAUUACGUCCCUGCCCUUUGUACACACCGCCCGUCGCUGCCCGGAACUGAGCCAUUUCGAGAAAAAUGGGGACUGAUUGCUUGUGAGCACGCAAGUGCUUCUUGCAGUCGGAAACCAUCU
rnacentral:rRNA from 1 species